AUAUAUAUAUAUCAAACUUCUCUUAUUGAGUGGUUUGGAUGUGGGGGUUUGCUGGCCUUUUUAAAAGGUUCAGCUCUCCUGAAAUGCAUUAGCAGAACAAACCUGUUCAUUGGUGUGAUAACUAUCUACGCUAUUGAAUGUGAGGGGCAGUUCAGCUUUCUAACAGUCCUUGGACAAUUCAUCAUUA
rnacentral:misc_RNA from 1 species